AUUGAACGCUGGCGGCAUGCUUUACACAUGCAAGUCGAACGGUAACAGGUUAAGCUGACGAGUGGCGAACGGGUGAGUAAUGCAUCGGAACGUGCCCGGUCGUGGGGGAUAACGCAGCGAAAGCUGCGCUAAUACCGCAUACGAUCUGAGGAUAAAAGCGGGGGACCGUAAGGCCUCGCGCGAUCGGAGCGGCCGAUGUCAGAUUAGGCAGUUGGUGGGGUAAAGGCUCACCAAGCCAACGAUCUGUAGCUGGUCUGAGAGGACGACCAGCCACACUGGGACUGAGACACGGCCCAGACUCCUACGGGAGGCAGCAGUGGGGAAUUUUGGACAAUGGGCGAAAGCCUGAUCCAGCAAUGCCGCGUGCAGGAAGAAGGCCUUCGGGUUGUAAACUGCUUUUGUACGGAGCGAAAAGGUCUCCUCUAAUACAGGGGGCUCAUGACGGUACCGUAAGAAUAAGCACCGGCUAACUACGUGCCAGCAGCCGCCGUAA
rnacentral:rRNA from 1 species